AAAGAUUUUUGGUAUAAUUUUUUGUGGUCAAUUGAUCUCAGAAAAUAAUUCACCAUUUGUGCAUUGUUAUUAAAGAUAUACUUUGGUUUGAGCUUUGAUUUCUUUAUCGAAAUCAACUUCUUGCUAACUCUGUCCUUUAAAGGACAGUUGGCUAUGAAGCGUGCCUACCAAGGUUUUUUUAUCAAACUCUUUGUAUUCUGUCUGACCUAAAUAAAUAAUUAAUAAUUAAAUCA
rnacentral:misc_RNA from 1 species